CCCAGCAGUACCAAAAGUACUUUCCAGGAAUGUGGCCCAGCUGCACAGUUAAGAAGUUGGAAAACUGGACAAAGAAACACAAGGGAAAGAAAGGUAUGCUUGCUUGGAAACAAAACCUAGAAAUGAUGGGCAAUGUAAUCAUUACCCCUG
rnacentral:lncRNA from 1 species